AGAGUUUGUAUCCUGGCUCAGGAUGAACGCUGGCGGCGUGCCUAAUACAUGUAAGUUGAGCGAACCUUUCGGGGUUAGCAGCGGACGGGUGAGUAACACGUAGGCAACCUACCUUAUAGUUGGGGAUAACACCGAGAAAUCGGUGCUAAUACCGAAUAACACCUAUUCUCUCAUGAUGAUAAGUUGAAAGUUGGCUUUUGCUAACACUAUAAGAUGGGCCUGCGGUGCAUUAGCUAGUUGGUAAGGUAACGGCUUACCAAGGCAACGAUGCAUAGCCGACCUGAGAGGGUGAUCGGCCACACUGGGACUGAGACACGGCCCAGACUCCUACGGGAGGCAGCAGUAGGGAAUCUUCCGCAAUGGACGAAAGUCUGACGGAGCAACGCCGCGUGAGUGAUGAAGGCUUUCGGGUCGUAAAACUCUGUUGUUAGGGAAGAACAAGUAUUAUUCGAAUAGGAUAAUACCUUGACGGUACCUAACCAGAAAGCCACGGCUAACUACGUG
rnacentral:rRNA from 1 species